CUAACAUCUCUUCUGACUAGUCAUAUUGCAGGGUCCCUACAUUCUUAAGAAUGGCUCGGGUUGGUCACGCUCUUUCACCAGGGAUGAUAAUGACAGUACCUGGAGAAUAAGCUCCGGCUAACUCCGUGCCAGCAGCCGCGGUAAUACGGAGGGAGCUAGCGUUGUUCGGAAUUACUGGGCGUAAAGCGUACGUAGGCGGUUAUUCAAGUCAGAGGUGAAAGCCUGGAGCUCAACUCCAGAACUGCCUUUGAAACUAGAUAGCUAGAAUCUUGGAGAGGUGAGUGGAAUUCCGAGUGUAGAGGUGAAAUUCGUAGAUAUUCGGAAGAACACCAGUGGCGAAGGCGACUCACUGGACAAGUAUUGACGCUGAGGUACGAAAGCGUGGGGAGCAAACAGGAUUAGAUACCCUGGUAGUCCACGCCGUAAACGAUGAUAACUAGCUGUUCGGGCUCUACGAGCUUGAGUGGCGCAGCUAACGCAUUAAGUUAUCCGCCUGGGGAGUACGGUCGCAAGAUUAAAACUCAAA
rnacentral:rRNA from 1 species